UACGUAGGGAGCAAGCGUUGUCCGGAAUUACUGGGUGUAAAGGGAGUGUAGGCGGGAGCGCAAGUUGAAUGUCAAAUCCAUCGGCUCAACCGGUGGCCGCGUUCAAAACUGCGUUUCUUGAGUGAAGUAGAGGCCGGCAGAAUUCCUAGUGUAGCGGUGAAAUGCGUAGAUAUUAGGAGGAACACCAGUGGCGAAGGCGGCCGGCUGGGCUUUACUGACGCUGAGGCUCGAAAGCGUGGGGAGCAAACAGGAUUAGAUACCCUGGUAGUCCCU
rnacentral:rRNA from 1 species